UACGUAGGGUCCGAGCGUUGUCCGGAAUUAUUGGGCGUAAAGAGCUCGUAGGCGGUUUGUCGCGUCUGCUGUGAAAUCCCGAGGCUCAACCUCGGGCCUGCAGUGGGUACGGGCAGACUGGAGUGCGGUAGGGGAGAAUGGAAUUCCUGGUGUAGCGGUGGAAUGCGCAGAUAUCAGGAGGAACACCGAUGGCGAAGGCAGUUCUCUGGGCCGUAACUGACGCUGAGGAGCGAAAGCGUGGGGAGCGUACAGG
rnacentral:rRNA from 1 species